UCUUCGGCAAUGGGCGCAAGCCUGACCGAGCGACGCCGCGUGCGGGAUGAAGGCCUUCGGGUUGUAAACCGCUGUCGUAGAGGAGGAAAUGCAGGGGGGUUCUCCCUUCUGUUUGACCUAUUCUAGGAGGAAGUACGGGCUAAGUUCGUGCCAGCAGCCGCGGUAAGACGAACCGUACAAACGUUACUCGGAAUUACUGGGCUUAAAGGGUGCGUAGGCUGCGCGGAAAGUUGGGUGUGAAAGCCCUCGGCUCAACCGAGGAAUUGCGCUCAAAACUACCGUGCUUGAGGGAGACAGAGGUAAGCGGAACUCAAGGUGGAGCGGUGAAAUGCGUUGAUAUCUUGAGGAACACCGGUGGCGAAGGCGGCUUACUGGGUCUUUUCUGACGCUGAGGCACGAAAGCUAAGGUAGCAAACGGGAUUAGAUACCCCGGUAGUCUUAGCUGUAAACGAUGAGCACUUGAUUGGAGGGUCCUCCAUAGCCUUCCAGUCGUAGCGAAAGUGUUAAGUGCUCCGCCUGGGGA
rnacentral:rRNA from 1 species